rnacentral:lncRNA from 1 species
AACUAACUAAUGGACAACUUUGUUCUGUUGAUCCGAUGAACAAUCUAUAGAAUAAAAUAUCAACAGACGACUUACGAUGGACAAAAAAAACUCAUGGACAUAAUUUGGUAUAGAUCUGGUCUAUAAAAAUAUACAUUCACGGGGUCCGAUGGACAACUCCACAUGCGUUAUUCGAGAAACUCGGCCGAAAACAAAGAAAUUCUGGCUUGUGGUGAUUCAGGACCGUCGCCUCCAUGUUCACCGAUGUCGAUUGGAAACGCUGCGGGAUGUGGUCAAGCAUCCAUGAGAUCUGAAGUAGAAGGGGGUAGGAUUAAUUUGUGUGCAAAUAACAAAGGUUUGGAAAAAGAUGAACUUGAGCUGAGGUUUGGAAGAAGAUGAACUUGAACUGAGGUUUGGGAGAACAGAGGCUUGGAAGAAGAUGAAUCGUACACAAAAAAAAAUUAAUUAUGUUUAAUUGUAUAAAGGCAAAAACUUUUUGUCAGA